rnacentral:rRNA from 1 species
UGCAUUAUUGCUCUUCACGAGGAAUCCCUAGUAAGCGCAAGUCAUCAGCUUGCGUUGAUUACGUCCCUGCCCUUUGUACACACCGCCCGUCGCUACUACCGAUUGAAUGGUUCAGUGAGGCUUUCGGACUGGCCCAGGGAGGUCGGCAACGACCACCCAGGGCCGGAAAGUUAUCCAAACUCGAUCAUUUAGAGGAAGUAAAAGUCGUAACAAGGUCUCCGUUGGUGAACCAGCGGAGGGAUCAUUGCUGGAACGCGCUUCGGCGCACCCAGAAACCCUUUGUGAACUUAUACCUACUGUUGCCUCGGCGUCAGGCCGGCCUCCUCACUGAGGCCCCCCGGAGACGGGGAGCAGCCCGCCGGCGGCCCAACUAAACUCUUGUUUCUAUAGUGAAUCUCUGAGUAAAAAAACAUAAAUGAAUCAAAACUUUCAACAACGGAUCUCUUGGUUCUGGCAUCGAUGAAGAACGCAGCGAAAUGCGAUAAGUAAUGUGAAUUGCAGAAUUCAGUGAAUCAUCGAAUCUUUGAACGCACAUUGCGCCCCCUGGUAUUCCGGGGGGCAUGCCUGUUCGAGCGUCAUUUCAACCCUCAAGCCUGGCUUGGUGAUGGGGCACUGCUUCGAGAGGAGCAGGCCCUGAAAUUCAGUGGCGAGCUCGCCAGGACCCCGAGCGUAGUAGUUAUAUCUCGCUCUGGAAGGCCCUGGCGGUGCCCUGCCGUUAAACCCCCAACUUCUGAAAAUUUGACCUCGGAUCAGGUAGGAAUAC